GACGUAGGGUCAGACGUUGUCCGGAUUUACUGGGCGUAAAGGGCGCGUAGGCGGUGCCACAAGUCACCUGUGAAAUCUCCGGGCUUAACUCGGAGCCUGCAGGCGAAACUGUGGUGCUGGAGUGUGGGAGAGGUGCGUGGAAUUCCCGGUGUAGCGGUGAAUGCGUAGAUAUCGGGAGGAACACCUGUGGCGAAAGCGGCGCACUGGACCAUAACUGACGCUGAGGCGCGAAAGCCUAGGGGAGCAAACAGG
rnacentral:rRNA from 1 species